AUUUAAUCUCUAAUAUGGCAGAUUAGUGCAAUGGAUUUAAACCCCAUUUAUAAAAGAUUAACUUUUUUUUAGAAA
rnacentral:tRNA from 1 species